rnacentral:rRNA from 1 species
CUACGGGUGGCUCCAGUGGGGAAUAUUGCACAAUGGAGGAAACUCUGAUGCAGCAACGCCGCGUGGAGGAUGACACUUUUCGGAGCGUAAACUCCUUUUAUAUAGGAAGAAGAUGACGGUACUAUAUGAAUAAGCGCCGGCUAACUCCGUGCCAGCAGCCGCGGUAAUACGGAGGGCGCAAGCGUUACUCGGAAUCACUGGGCGUAAAGAGCGUGUAGGCGGAUUAAAAAGUCAGAAGUGAAAUCCUAUAGCUUAACUAUAGAACUGCUUCUGAAACUCUUAAUCUAGAAUAUGGGAGAGGUAGAUGGAAUUCCUGGUGUAGGGGUAAUAUCCGUAGAGAUCAGAAGGAAUACCGAUUGCGAAGGCGAUCUACUAGAACAUUAUUGACGCUGAGACGCGAAAGCGUGGGGAGCAAACAGGAUUAGAUACCCUGGUAGUC